AAAAAUAAAAAGAUAUUAAUUUAAUCUACAGGACAACACAAAGACAAGUCAAAGGUCAAAACCAAGCAAAAGAAUUCACAGAAUAUAUAAACUCAUAAAAAUAUUUAAAUAUAUAUAACCCUCAUUAAUUUGCAUUUAAAUGAUGUGACAAAAUAUACCUAAGAAAUUAUUCCAAGGCUCCCAUCACGCCAAAGGAGCCCUCAAUGCCAACCCCUCAAUUCCAAGGAAUUCCCUCAUUCCCAAGGGGACCCCAACUCCAAGGCAUUCCCGUUUUAACCCCUGUUCACUCCUCCAUCUUAUUAACAAGGUUUUCCUCAUUCCCAAACCCUCAAUUCCAGAAAUUCCCCAAAAUUCCCCUCACGGUAAAGGAGCCCCCAUUCCCAAGGCCCCCUCAAUGCCAAAGGUCGCCCGUAGUGCCAAAAGCCAGUUGGAUAUCAAUCCCCCGCCACUGCCACGGCUCCCCUCAGUGCCAAUCCCUCAAUUCCAAGCAUUCCCUCAUUCCCAAGGAACUCCACAUUUCAAAAAAAAUCUCAUUUCCAAGGAAAUCCCUCCCCUACCCCCCCGCCGUCGCCCAGAAAUGGUCGCGCCCUCCCCUCGCCAACCUCACCCGUUCCCGGCGCUCUCGGGCCCCCGCUCUCCGCCGGCCCCGCCCCCUACGCGCCGACCAAUCAGAAACCGGCGCCGUCCUCAACAUUAUCCAAUAGCGCUGCACUUCCGGGUUGGGCGGGGUUUGCUCACUGCCCCUUUGUGAUGACGUCAUGCGUCUGGCGUGUGACGUCACGAGGGCUCGGCG
rnacentral:lncRNA from 12 species